rnacentral:rRNA from 1 species
CAGCACCUCAAGUGGUCAGGAUGAUUAUUGGGCCUAAAGCAUCCGUAGCCGGCGCUGUAAGUUUUCGGUUAAAUCUGUACGCUCAACGUACAGGCUGCCGGGAAUACUGCAGCGCUAGGGAGUGGGAGAGGUAGACGGUACUCGGUAGGAAGGGGUAAAAUCCUUUGAUCUAUUGAUGACCACCUGUGGCGAAGGCGGUCUACCAGAACACGUCCGACGGUGAGGGAUGAAAGCUGGGGAGCAAACCGGAUUAGAUACCCGCGUAGUCC